rnacentral:rRNA from 1 species
GACGAACGCUGGCGGCGUGCUUAACACAUGCAAGUCGAACGGAAAGGCCCUGCUUUUGUGGGGUGCUCGAGUGGCGAACGGGUGAGUAACACGUGAGUAACCUGCCCUUGACUUUGGGAUAACUUCAGGAAACUGGGGCUAAUACCGGAUAGGAGCUCCUGCUGCAUGGUGGGGGUUGGAAAGUUUCGGCGGUUGGGGAUGGACUCGCGGCUUAUCAGCUUGUUGGUGGGGUAGUGGCUUACCAAGGCUUUGACGGGUAGCCGGCCUGAGAGGGUGACCGGCCACAUUGGGACUGAGAUAAGGCCCAGACUCCUACGGGAGGCAGCAGUGGGGAAUAUUGCACAAUGGGCGGAAGCCUGAUGCAGCAACGCCGCGUGCGGGAUGACGGCCUUCGGGUUGUAAACCGCUUUCGCCUGUGACGAAGCGUGAGUGACGGUAAUGGGUAAAGAAGCACCGGCUAACUACGU